GUGCUUGAGCACAUGGGACCUGCAGGCUCAUGUUCCAAGGAGAAGCUGUUUGAGCAGCUCUUCAGCUCUUGCCUUUUGUGAGGCCCACAUGCUGUAGCAACACCCUGCUGUUCCAAAACAGAAGAAACCAGAACUCUGAGACAGUGGAAAGCAGGCAGUGGGAAAGGUGACAGCAGGCAGAGGGUAGCAUCACUCAGACAUCUAUUAUGCUGCUGGGAACAGAGACACGUGACACGGAUAGGUGGAUCUGGAUGGGCUUCUAUGCCUCUUAAGCCCCAGUGUCAUGCUUUUUGGUGACAUUUUGCACUGACUUGAAAUGACAGAAGAUAAAUGUGGAAGAUGUGGUUCUAAUCCUGGCUGUUGAGCCUUUGUGACCUUCAGUGCCUUGGGUCACAACAGUCCUAUGCAGUGCUCCAGGCUGGACCUGAGGGUGAUGGUUGACAGCCAGCUGAACAUGAGCCAGCAGCGUGCCCAGAUGGCCCCUGGCCUGGAUCAGCAGUGGUGUGGCCAGCAGGACCAUGGAAUUGAUUGUCCCCUGUACUGG